GACGAACGCUGGCGGCGUGCUUAACACAUGCAAGUCGAACGGAAAGGCCCUGCUUUUGUGGGGUGCUCGAGUGGCGAACGGGUGAGUAACACGUGAGUAACCUGCCCUUGACUUUGGGAUAACUUCAGGAAACUGGGGCUAAUACCGGAUAGGAGCUCCUGCUGCAUGGUGGGGGUUGGAAAGUUUCGGCGGUUGGGGAUGGACUGGCGGCUUAUCAGCUUGUUGGUGGGGUAGUGGCUUACCAAGGCUUUGACGGAUAGCCGGCCUGAGAGGGUGACCGGCCACAUUGGGACUGAGAUACGGCCCAGACUCCUACGGGAGGCAGCAGUGGGGAAUAUUGCACAAUGGGCGGGAGCCUGAUGCAGCAACGCCGCGUGCGGGAUGACGGCCUGCGGGUUGUAAACCGCUGUCGCCUGUGACGAAGCGUGAGUGACGGUAAUGGGUAAAGAAGCACCGGCUAACUACGUG
rnacentral:rRNA from 1 species